rnacentral:lncRNA from 1 species
GUUGAAAUCGUCCCAGCAUCCGCCGGGAGAGCUUGGAGGAGCGAAGAAUUAAUAUAAGGAUUCAUAAAACCCCCAACAUAGCUAUGCAAAACCUAUGGUUGAGUAAUAUUUUAUCCUACAAAUUUAUUUACCUCAAUUUCCCCUAAGUUGCCGCAUCCCAUUUCACACCUUUUUUACUGCUUCAAUGAAAAUGAUCAUACAAAGAACAAACUUACUAACACAAACAACACGACAUAACAUUAUCCAGUUUUGAUACAAAGUUUUCAAAUUUUGAAGUAAAGCAUGAAACAUAUUACAACAUCAACAAGAAAACAUGUGACAACAAUUUGAGGUAAAGCAUGAAAUAUAUUACAACAUCAACAAGAAAACAUGUGACAACAAUACUUAUGUAUAACAUCAUAAACCAUAUACCUCAAAUUACUCACAAAACUGAAAUAUGCAAUCCUCCAUGAUCUUCUCACUAUCAAUGGACCCAUAAUCAUCCAAAAUCCACAAACAAAUCCAACCACUAUGCUUAUAAUCAACCCCCAAUCUGCUCCAUCCUCUUCUUUUUUCUCUCCUAUUGUAUGAGUUGCUGCUUUAACCCGUUCACAACCAUUAGUUUCAGUUAGUGGAGCUCCACAAAGUUUGUUGCCAAAGAAGCUAGACUCACUGAAGCUUUGAAGCUGUGUACUUGUUGGAAUUCUUCCUGUCAAACUGUUGAAGGACACGUUGAAGCUACUCAAGAAGUUUAACUUUGACAAGCUCAUGGGAAGUUCUCCAGAAAGCCAGUUUACCGAUAAAUCUAACGAUAUAAGUUCUUUCAUGUUUCCAAUCUUCUAUGGGAUACUUCCACUCAAUUGAUUUCUUGAUAAAUUCAACGAUUUUAGUUCCAUUAGGGACAUUAGCUCACUAGGAAUGUGUCCGGUGAGAUUGUUACUCGAAAGGUCUAUCAACAUCACUAAUGGAAGAAUACUGCUAUAUGUGUCCUCUCGUCCGAUUGUCACCAAUGAAUCACCAGCAAUAAAUAAUUCAGGUCCAAUAAUGCUAAUGCUGUAAGCAAAGUCUCUUGAAUUGCUUUCGGUGCCGGAAAGGAUACUAAAGUUGUUGAAGCAUCUGGGAAUAUUUCCAGAUAAGUUGUUAUGAGCAAGAUCUAAUAUUUUAAUAUGUCUAAUAUGACAAAGCUCAUGAGGAAUAUUUCCGGCAAAACGGUUUGAUCGAAGGUUGAGAAUUCUUAAAAGAGUAAGUUUUGUUCCAAUCCAUGUUGGAAUGCUUCCGGUAAGUUCAUUCCUUCCAAGUUCAAGAAUACCUAGAUUUGUUAAGUUCAUUAGAAAAGAAUGUAAUCUUCCAGAGAUCUUGUUCCCAUGCAUGUUCAGAUGCUAUAAAGGUAAAGAACCCAAUGUUUUUGGAAUCUCACCAGACAAACUGUUAUUCCCCAAAUUUAAGGUUUCCAACCUUGGUCAUUUCUCCUAACACUCUGGAAGGUCACCCGACAAAUGAAUAUUUUCCAAAUUAAGAAAAGAUGUGCUUGUCACACCACUAGAACACAAGAAAGGAUGUAACGAUCCCCGAAACCCAUUCGAGCUAAUGUCAAUAAACACAAGUGUGGCAGGGUUACCAGAGAACGUUAAUGGUCCUCGGAUAUGAUUAUUUGACAUAUUCAAAUACCUUAAAUUGGAGAAUGAUCUCACAAAUGAUUCGGGCAGGGGCGAUGAAAUGUCUGUGUUGCUUAUGUCUAAAUAACUUAAAUCCUUCUGUGAUUGCAACCACAACGGAAAUUGAGGCCCUAAAACCCAAUUUCUCAUAGACAAAUGUUCCAACUGAAAAGGGGGAAUCCAGUUUGCAACUUGCAGCCUUAAGAUUAGUUUGUUAGUUGAUCCUUCUAGAUCCUUCAAGCUCACUAGUUUGAUAAAGUGAGCUUCUGUCACAACACCUGUAAGCAAAUUAUGAGAAAAAUCUAAAAGAAUCAACUUUGAAAGUUGUCCGAGGCUAUCAGGAAGGCUGCCAUCCAGUCGAUUAUAACUAAUACCCAAGGCCUCCAAUGAUGAUAAUUUUCCAAUUGAGUAUGGAAUGGGACCAGAAAUUUGAUUAUCAGUAAGAUAUAAUGUUCUAAGAAAUGACAAGUUUCCUAUGGAAUGAGGAAUUAUACCAGUUAUAUGGUUCCCGAUCAAGGAUAAUGACUCCAAGGCAGGUGAUUUGCACUCGAAAAAACUUUCAAGAAAAUAUGUCAGACUAAUAUUACCAAUAUUGUUAAAAGACAAAUCAAUCUCUCUCAAAUUACAAAAGUUACCCAAUGAUUUAGGUAUUCUCUUAGUGAGUUGAUCGUCAGACAAGUCGAGGCUAAUAAGAUUUGUUAGAUUUUGAAGGGAAUCUAGAACUGAACUUGAAAUACCACAACCUCCAAUAUCUAAUGAGAUGAGAUUACUACUGGACAACUCUUGAAAUAUUGAGGAAGAAUUCAUGAAAUCAUUGUCGGCAACAUGAAGCAACUCAAGAGAAGUCAGAUUGCGGAACCCAGGAAUAGGAGCAUGAAAAAAACCACCGAGUUAAAUCCAGUGAAACUAGACUAGUUACACUGAAUAUCCACUGUGGCACUGAACUGUUAAAAUAAUUGUAAGAAAGAUCGAGAAUAGAAAGGGAUGUGAGAUUGACACUAGGAACAUACAUGUGUAGAUUUGAGAGUUCACAUCCAGACAAAUGUAGCUGGACCAAAGAAGGAAGGGUGUUAAUCACCUGAAGCCAAUCGGUUGCUUUGCUAAGGUCCACUGUUACGCCCAAAAUUUCAUCUUCCUAAAUGUGAUAUUAUCAUACUAUAAUUUAACAAAAAUUGGGCAUGACCCGUCCAUAAAACGAGCAUACCCCUGUUUUAAACAUAAUCAAACUAGUUAUAAUUCUACGAUUCAUUCGACAAAAUACUACUAAGAACCAAUACAACAAAUUUUGGACUAAAAACAUUUGAACAAGCUAGCGGAAGCGUUUGGUAUGACAUAACAUGAACACGCGCUCGCUCCGAUUCUCCAAGUCGCCUGAAUUGAGGGUUUACCUACAUUCAACAACAAAGCUUUAAAAAGUUAGUCGCUAUACUUGUUUGCUUAUAAAACCGUCAUUUUAAUUCCAUUCAUGUACAUACUCUCAUUUCUCUUACGCAUUCGAUUUCCCAAUUAAAUGGGUAUCACAUAUAUUCUCAUACAACUAACCUGUUAGUAGGUGGUGACGACCAAACAUAAAAUAUUGUAUAAACUAAAACGUCCAUAGUAUAUUCUAACCACUUAAGUUACUUCAACCCGAAUAUCUUCCAACACUCAAUCAUUUCAUUACUAUAUCGACACUUCGAAAGUCCGAUAUUCAUAAACCUGCACUUUCAACAUACUCGAUAAUAAUUUGGUUAGCAAACCUGUAAUCUCCACAUAUUCAAGUACUACAUUUUCAUAAAAAGGUCGCCAACCAUUUAUACAUCAAUUUAACUACAACACUAUGUACGCCUUUCGCAUAAUUAUGUACAUACAUAUAUUUAUAUAUAUUUUCUAUACACAUCACGCAUACUUGUUUAUACGACUUAAACUCACCAUAACUCCAAUUAUUCAUAAUUACAUACCAUCCUAUUCACUUAAUUUAAAUUAACACACCUCCCUACUCAUACAUAUGACCGUCCGAUAAUAGACUUACUUAUAAACAAGUUCCAUCCGUUACAUGCUUACAUAAUCAUGUCUACACAUAUUUACUUACAUCCAAUUCUUGAUUAACCUACUCGCAUUCGAUCAUCAUACUCAUAUAUUAAUUAUAUGGUGCUUAGACUUGAGUUUAUAACCCAAAAAUAUUAGUUAAGAGGAGUUUAUAACGUAUCUAUUUAUGCCCGAAGGUCAAAAAUAACAAAACAAUCAACUUUUUUGGAAAACUGCCGCCGUAAGCUACGGCUCAGCCGUAGCUUACGAUUCAGUUGUUUGGUCCAAACAGAAGCUAUGUUCUGUAGCCUACGACUGAACUGUAGCUUACGAUUUGGCUGCUCUGCAGCUUAUCCAACUUUGUCCGUUUACGCUAAAACUUGAGUAACUUUCACACCGUUUACCCGUUUAACCUCCCGUUUCUUCCUACAUGAUUGUAAAUUAACCUUCUAUCAUGUGAACUUGAAAUCCAACAUCCGAGUUAAGGAAUUUCUUAACUUAUACGUAUUCGGCUUGUUAUCCAUCUAUGAAUUAUUCGAUCCAUUCGUGCAUUUAUCAAAAUAGUCUAUCGAUUUGACCUCAACUUCAUAUGAACUUAAUAAUUAAAACAUUAUAUUACUUAAACAACUAAAUAAGUGAUUAUAGAGAUCACUUACCUUAUGCAUCCCUAUUCGCUAUCGUUUCCUCAUGUCCUCAUGGCCCGUUAGUCCUUUAUGCUUCCAUCCAUCUCGACAUGAUCCCUAUACUUUUAUUUCGUUGCAUCCAAAUUCUUGUUAGCAUACAAAAUUAUACAUAUGAACGAUCAUAUCAAUUUACAUUUCACAUUCGGCUUCAUUAACAUUUCAACUAGCAUAUGGUACUACCUUAUAAUGCAUGUUUCUUACUAAAUCAUUUCAUCAAACUAACAACAUCAUUCAAGUUGAACUAAUUUAGUACUAUUCUUGAACCCAACAUUAUCCUUACUAGAAAAUCCACAUAUCAUACAAUGACACCACUUUAACCCCUCGAUCACAACUACAUAAUCAACUAAAUGCAUUAGGAGUGCCAUAUCUUUAUGCAUAGAGUACAAGUUCAUCAUACUAACAAUCAACUUUUUCCACAUGAUUUCUAUUCUAAAUACACAUUUCAUGUUAGUUUGAUAACAAAUAUAUUAUUAUUUCCCUCUAUACUUAUUUACCCACAAUUUGCAUACUAUUUUUACAUAUUGUUGUCAUUUAGACAUUUCAUCAAACACUUGGUGUGCAUACACCAUUUAAUGCACAAUGUACAACUAUUUCAUGCUUAAUCUUCAAAGUUCUUACUUCCAACCACCAACACCGGAAAAAAUCGCAAAACAAAAUAAAUAAAAAAAUGGAAAGUAACACCGGGCGAAACGUAGACGUAAAAUCAUUGAACCACACACGCAAAAAAUUA